ensembl:lncRNA
CUGGGCAAGGACCCAGCAUUGACAGCUGCUGCAACCCCUCCCAGAUCUUUCCUUUACUUCCUGGGGAUGGGGGUGGGAGAAGAAUUUACCACAGGGGUGCCCUUCUCCAUUCCCUGGAGAAGCAUCCCUGAAAAAAUUAUAGGGGAUGGAGAUUUAAUCCUGAGUUCUCUACACAUGUGCCUUGGAUGGCUGAACAUACCAGGACUCCCCAGAGAUGGAGAUCACCUUCCAACUCGGGAGUGAGGGGAUUCCUUCACAAGCAGCUGGAUCAAAGGCUUUCCAGAUUUUCUCAUAUGGCUGCUGAUGGCGUGUGUCAUGAUAGGAUUGGGGGCUGUGUUGGCAAGAAUGAUCUGGAGAUGCUUUAGAAGAAACACAGACUCCGAGAACCACUUUUAUGGCAAUGUUCUCUAUUUCCACAAAGAAACUAAGGGGGCCACGCCAAACAAGAACAAGCCUCUGCAAGGGACACCAGAGAAAAAGAGAGGAGAGAGGAUCUACUCUGCUGGUCUCCAACUCCCAACCCCUACCCCUAGGGCUUAGUCCCCUGGAACCGUCCCCCUACCCACUCCAGCCUGCAUCAGGCUAGUUCUUAGCCAAUAAAACCAGCUCACUCCCUGCCUCCAACCUUCACUUAACCUAGGAUUUCUUUGCUCAGUCCAGUGAGGUGUGGGGGAGAGGUCAGCCUUCCUGAGAAUGGGAAAGUGAGGGAGGACUAAGGUUUCCCAGAAGCUGGGAGGUUGCCUCUUCAGCCAAGUCAUGGAGGAUAGGAUCCAAUGCUUAAAGAUAAGCCAGAGCUACAUUUUUGGAAAUGAAAGUGGCAAAAAGGAGGAUGGCCCAAUUUUAUGGCCCCAAUAUUAUACUUGACUCUUAAUAUUUGUUAUAAAGGAUUUUUUUUUUGUUUAUUUUAGUGGGGAAGAGGAGAAAAUGGAGAAAAUAAAUGCUUGUUGAUUGAAAAAUAAAGUGAAAAAACAAAAGAACCAAGAUCAUCUGAUAUGACUCUAAUAUGUGAGACUGCUUCUCAUAUACUUUUUCCAUCAUUUCCUAGACACUACUAGAGCUUGCUCUCCCCUUUCCCCAUCCCUAAUGCCCAACUGACUUAGUAUCCUAUGGCUUCUCCGUAAGGUCUAGCAUUAAUAAACCAGAGGCCCUUGUUUGAUGAGGGCAGGAUGUAUGAUGUUUGAUGUAUGGCCUGUAAGACCCCAGAGCACCUGAGAAGGAAUAGGGGAAGGGAUGGAAUCUGAGAGACUGAAAUCUGAGGAGUUGGAAUUAAAAGACUUGGAUCUGAGGAAAGUAGAAUCCUUGCAACUGGAAUGGAAGAGACUGGGAGCUGAGAUUUGGGGAUAUUGUGAAAUGAGAAUAGACUCUGGGGGAGAAUUAGAUCUUGGGGGCUAAAAUUGGAAGGUAAAGUAGGGCUGAGCUGGAGAGACUGGGAUCUAUGGGCUAGUGUUGAGAUAAAUCUGAAAAAAUCUGUUAUUUGGAAGCUGGACUCUAGGGAAGCUAAAUUCUGGGUGGCUGAGAUGGAAGGGAGACCUGAGAGUGAAAAUAAGAGAAUAUAGAGGAGACACUGAAGAAAGGAGGUAGGAUUUUCUGCAGAACUGGCUCAUCUGAUGAAAAGGAUCUUCCAUAAGUUAUUUCUUCU